GAAGAGUCCAAAGAUGGCUUGAAACGCGCCAGCGAAAAACGUGACAGUGAAGACAAUUUUUCGGUAAGCAAUUGGGUCGGUGACUGGAUCUUGAAGGUCACGAACCAUUGACGACAGAAGAAGCGAAACUACAGCCACAGGACCAAUGGCUAACUCUCUCGAAGUUCCCAUCGUCGAAUAUAUCAGAGUUGGUGGAUAAAGUUACCUGAGGAAUGCAAAGACUAGCGAGAGUGAGACCUGCCAUCAAAUCUUUCUUGAACAAGUUGAGUUUGUAUUGUCUUCCCCAACUAAGUAUAGGGAAAGCCGAUUUAAGACAAGAGUAAACAAGGUUUGAUGAUGAGUUCUUCGUCUUGUUCCUCUUAUGUUUCUUCUUGGCCAAGACAUUUGUUCUUAUGUACCCAAUAAGCUCUUGCCACAUGCUUGGUGGUUCCGGCGUAUUUAUCAGCCACCGUGACAUGGGCUCUUCUGCAGGACUGGCUUCUUCAUGGUGGCUCUGGUGAUUCUGAAGCUCUAUGCCCAUUUUUUUUUUUUUAUCUUUGUGGGUUAUUGAAGUGUGUGAUAGGGAACUAAGUUGCAUUCAGCUCUCUCUCUAGAUAUAUAUUAACUUUUUUGGUCAUAUAUAUCCAUAACUUAUACUUAAAAUUAGAAAGAAAGUAAGUAUAAUUCCAAACUUUGGCCCUAAAUUU